rnacentral:rRNA from 2 species
GACCUUGAAAUACCACCCUUUAAUGUUUGAUGUUCUAACGUGGACCCGUAAUCCGGGUUGCGGACAGUGUCUGGUGGGUAGUUUGACUGGGGCGGUCUCCUCCUAAAGAGUAACGGAGGAGCACGAAGGUUGGCUAAUCCUGGUCGGACAUCAGGAGGUUAGUGCAAUGGCAUAAGCCAGCUUGACUGCGAGCGUGACGGCGCGAGCAGGUGCGAAAGCAGGUCAUAGUGAUCCGGUGGUUCUGAAUGGAAGGGCCAUCGCUCAACGGAUAAAAGGUACUCCGGGGAUAACAGGCUGAUACCGCCCAAGAGUUCAUAUCGACGGCGGUGUUUGGCACCUCGAUGUCGGCUCAUCACAUCCUGGGGCUGAAGUAGGUCCCAAGGGUAUGGCUGUUCGCCAUUUAAAGUGGUACGCGAGCUGGGUUUAGAACGUCGUGAGACAGUUCGGUCCCUAUCUGCCGUGGGCGCUGGAGAACUGAGGGGGGCUGCUCCUAGUACGAGAGGACCGGAGUGGACGCAUCACUGGUGUUCGGGUUGUCAUGCCAAUGGCACUGCCCGGUAGCUAAAUGCGGAAGAGAUAAGUGCUGAAAGCAUCUAAGCACGAAACUUGCCCCGAGAUGAGUUCUCCCUGAGACUUAGAGUCUCCUGAAGGAACGUUGAAGACGACGACGUUGAUAGGCCGGGUGUGUAAGCGCAGCGAUGCGUUGAGCUAACCGGUACUAAUGAACCGUGAGGCUUAACCUUACAACGCCGAAG